rnacentral:rRNA from 1 species
GACGAACGCUGGCGGCGUGCCUAAUACAUGCAAGUUGAGCGCUGAAGGUUGGUACUUGUACCGACUGGAUGAGCAGCGAACGGGUGAGUAACGCGUGGGGAAUCUGCCUUUGAGCGGGGGACAACAUUUGGAAACGAAUGCUAAUACCGCAUAAAAACUUUAAACACAAGUUUUAAGUUUAAAAGAUGCAAUUGCAUCACUCAAAGAUGAUCCCGCGUUGUAUUAGCUAGUUGGUGAGGUAAAGGCUCACCAAGGCGAUGAUACAUAGCCGACCUGAGAGGGUGAUCGGCCACAUUGGGACUGAGACACGGCCCAAACUCCUACGGGAGGCAGCAGUAGGGAAUCUUCGGCAAUGGACGAAAGUCUGACCGAGCAACGCCGCGGGAGUGAAGAAGGUUUUCGGAUCGUAAAACUCUGUUGGUAGAGAAGAACGUUGGUGAGAGUGGAAAGCUCAUCAAGUGACGGUAACUACCCAGAAAGGGACGGCUAACUACGUG